GCCGCUGGGAGCGCUUGGUUAUUUCCUCUGAGCGCUUAGCUGCCGCUUGUAGACUUGACUGCGUGGGCACAGAAGUCAAGUGGUGGUGGAGAGAGUGUAUUAUCCAAUUUGUAUGUCUUUCAGUCAGCUCUUUCCUCCACGCGUCUAAACAUCCUCCGCACCUGCUGGUAGGUGCGUACAUGUUAAGACCACCUUGAAGCAAUUGGGCAAACUCUAGUAAAACCGAAAUAUCCAAAGAGCAAAUUCCAGCAUUCAGCUCCUAACUGUGUAUUUUAUAGGAACUUUGCUGUGUAGACAAGGGUGUCCAUAGCCCCACUGUGAGUAGGAGCAAAAAAUUGGAAACUUCCAUCAAUAAGAGCAUAAACAUGGGAUAUUCACAGGACGCAAUAUUAUAUGCCAGUAAGUCAAGACUGAACCUAGAAAUGUGAUGAAGCAGAAAGAGGGAGAUUUAUGUGACUUUGGCAGUUUAUCUCCAGCAGGGCAAGUUUUCUAAGCUUGGAAAAAAGAUGGAUUUGCCCUCUUAGGUGUGGGGCUUUAGUUGGGAACUCACAUAGGACAUCAGUCAACUCUGUUGGAUUUGCCCGUCGUCUGGAUGGACUGGCAGGAAGACAAGUUCAGAUGGAGAUGAGUGCUGUGGAGAAAAUACCAAACAGGAAAGGGGAAAUGAUGAAACAUCACUAGUUAAAAUAGGGUGUUCGGAGAAGACCUCACUGAGAAGAGCAUUUGAGCAAAAGAUCUGAAAAAGUGGAGGAAGCUAUGCAGAUGUCUGAGAGAAGAGCCUUUCAAGCAAAGACAACAGCAAGUGUGGACAAAGAGUGUCUGAUGCAUGAAAGCAGUGUUAGGUUUGGCGUGUUGGCAGUGGGCUGGGCCAAGGAGGAGGGGGAGCUGGUGUGGAAUGCUGUGAAAGAUAAGGGGGUUUUUAGGCAUUGUAUGUACUUUGACUUGAAUUUUGGGUGGGGUAGGUGGGAAGGCAUUAGAGAAUUUUGAAGAGGAGUGACAUAAUCUGACUUAUUUUUUGUAAAAGUUCACUCCGAGGUUAGUGUUAAGACUAAACAGAAGGUAAAUGAAAGGAGAAUUAUAAAAUUCAAAAAUAAUAGGUGGAUUCCCUAUCAGUAAUGGAUAGGACACUCGGACAGAAAAUUAGAAGAAGAUAUCAACCAAAACAAAAAAAAUGUGUAUAUCAACCAACUAGGCUUAACUGAAAUCUAUAGAAUAUUCAGACAAUAGCAGAAUAGACAUAUCAAGUUCACAUGGAAUAUUCUUUGGGAUAGACUAGAUACUAGGCCAUGAAACAAGUCUCAAAAAGUUCAAAAUAAUUGAAAUACAAAGUAUGUUCUCAAACCACAAUGGAAACAUAAGGAAAAAUUUGGAGAUCACAAAUAUGUGGAAAUUAAAUGAUAUGCUAUAAAUUACUAAUGGAUCAAAGAAGAAAUCAUAAUGAAAAUUUAAAAAUACUUUGAGAUGAAUGAAAAUGAAAUAUACCAAAAUUUAUGGGUUGCAAUGAAAGCUGUACUUAGAGGAAAAUUUCAGCUGUACAUUCUUUUUUUAAAUUGAGGUAUAAUUAACAUAUUAGUUUUAGGCGUACAACAUAAUGAUUUGAUAUUUGUAUAUACUGCAAAAUGACCAUAAUAGGUCUAGUUAAUAUUUUGGAAUAAAUUAUCAAAAAUACAAGACUACAGCAUUAUAAAUUACAAAAUAUUGUUGAAUGCAAUUGAAGACCUAAAUACAUGGGAAAACAUUCUCUGUCCAUAGAUUAAAAAGGACUUAAUAUUGUGUAGAGAUGCCCCCCCCCCCAAAUUGUUCCACAUAUUCAGUGUAAACUCUAUUAAAAUCUCUGCUGGCUUUUUUGGGGGGGGUUAGAAAUUGACAAGCUGGAAUUCUCAUGGAAAUGCCAAGGAUCCAGACAGCAAUAUUGAAAAAGAAGAAUAAAGCUUGAGAAACUACACCUCCCCAUUUCAGAACUUAAUGCAAAGCUACAGUAAUGUGUGAUAGUGGCAAGAGGAUAAACAUAGAUCAAUAGGAUAGAAUUAAGAAGCCCACAAAUAAACCCUUACAUUUACGGUCAAUUGAUUUUUAGCAAUGGUAUCCAGAAAACCCAAUGGGGAAGUAGGAGCCUUCAAAAAUGGUUCUGGGACAAUUGAAGAUCCACUUAGGCAAAAAACUGAAUUUAGAUCUCAACCUCACACCACGCAGAAAAGUUCACUCAAAGUGGAUCAUAGACCUAAAUGUAAGAGCUAAAACGGUAAAUUUUAGAACAAAGCAAGGUCGCUUUUGGCAGUGAUUACUUAGAAAUAGCCCCAAAAGCACAGGGGUAAAAGAAAAUAUAAUGAAUUAGACUUAAAACUUUUGCAUUUCAAAAAACACUUGCCAGGAAGUGAAAAAACCCACAGAAUGGGAGAAAUAUUUGCAAAUCAUAUGUAUUCAGUAAGGGAUUUACAUUAAGAACAUAAAACUCUAACGACUCACUAAAAAUGACCCCAUGUAUUUUAAAAGGGCAGAGGAUUUGAACUGAUGUUUCUAAAAAGAAGAUAUACAACGGCUGAUAAGCACAUAAAAAGAUGCUGACUAUUACUAGUAAUUAAGGAAGUGGAAGUCAGAACUACAGUGGGAGGGGUUCCCACUGCGGCACAGCUGGAUUGGCGUCAUCUCUGCAGCACCAGGACGCAGGUUCAAUCCCCGGCCCAGCACAGUGGGUUAAAGGAUCCAGCGCUGCUGCGUCUGUGGCUCGGGUCUGAUCCCUGGCCCAGGAAUUCCAUCUGCCUCGGGGCAGUCGGAAAAGGAUAAAAAAGAAAACACACACACAACACACACAGGCGCUACUGCUUUACACCUACUAUAGUGGCUAACAGGGGCAAUGAAUGCAUGUUCACACACAGAGUUUUCGCAUUGAAUAUUCAGAGCACCCAUAGUCGCUGUAGCUAAAAAGUCAAAGCAACUGAAAUGUCCAUCAACUGGUGAGUGGAUAAACAAAAUGUUAUAUAAUCUGUAUCAAAGACAGCUCGUUGACAAUAAGAAAUAAAAUAACUGAUACAUGCCACAUAAACAUGUUCAAAGACGCUAGACACAAAAGAACACGUGUGAUUCAAUUCGUAUAGACUCUCCUGUGGGGAUGGGAAGUGGAUUAGUGGCUGGGAGGAGAGUUGACAGCUGUUGGGCAGAGGGUUUAGUCUGAGGAGGAAGGAAACCAUCUAGAAUUAGAUUGUGGGAAUGCAGUAAAUAAGGUUGAAAUGGGUCAAGGUUACGACGUGUAAGUUACGUCUCGGUGAAGCUGUUUCAAACACUGGCUCUUGUCUGGGGAGGCCUCUGCCCUGAGUGACUGUGGUGACAGAAUACUGAGGUCGCCGUGGAGACCAAAUAUUAUGCUCGCAUGAUAAUGGAUUUCAGCAUUGCCUUUUUUCCCCCCUCAGAUAUUUUAAUGAAUUCUUAUGAAAUGCAUAGAAGAGAUAAAUAGAAUUCUUUAGCAGGACCUGUGUUAUUCACAUUUCAACAGGAAAAAAAAUAUUUCCUCUUCUAGAAUUUUGAGUGGGUGGCAUUUUAUUUUCGUGAUCAAAGAACGGAGUCUAUGGUUCUCAUGUAUAGAAUUGAAGGAUUUUACUCCUGAGGACAAGAGGGGGUGGUGGGACAGACUUCGACCUCGGGAUCUAAAGACUGUCAUGGGAGACGGUCAGCCUCGUGGAUGACCAGAGGCAGAUUCUUUGUCAACCUCCAGACUUUUUAGGCGGAACCUUAGGAAUCUGCCUCUCUCAGGCUCCUGCCUCUCCAAGUACACGUGAUAAGUGGCGUCCGUUCUGUACCCGGCGGCCAAAGCAGCGGCUGCCUCUAGGAGGACGGUGGAGCCAAUGCAGGUUGCUGCCGGGGUGCUGAGUCCCAUGGGACCUUCCUCUAGAUGCGCUUCCUUCCUGGGACACGUGUCCUCCCACGUGUGUCUGGGACGGUGCGACAGAUUUGCAGGCCUUCCUGUGGGAAACGUAGCUCCCCGCGCCAACAUUUUUCCUCCUUUCUUUUUGACUUUUUAUUUGGAAAUAAUUGUGGAAGCCGUAAAACAAGUACAAAGCGAUCCGAGUGCCUUCACCGGGUCUCCCCCUGUGGCAGUAACUCAUAGAGCUACAGUGGAAACCAGCCAGGUGACGGACGCCUUGUGCGGGGGUGGUGUCAUGCCAUUUUAUCACCUGCAGAGGUUCCCAGACCACGACUGCGGUCAAGCCCCAGAGCCCUUCCAGCCCGGCAAAGUCUCCCUGCUGCCGCCGCCCCUUGUCCUCCCCACAGCCUCCACCCACCUUCCGUGGCAGCCACCAACCUGUCCUUCAGCCAUAGAAUCUACCGCCUCCAGGAUGUUAAAUAAUCACACAGCCGAUCAGCUUCUCUCUCUCUCUCUUUUUUUUAAACCAC